UUAAACCUAACAUAUUCAAAGCCGAAGUGGCCUAAUUCGGCCGCCGAAUAUUUGCCACGCCCCCAGUAGACAUCACGCCCCCUUAGUGAAGAAGCGAGUCUAGAAAAAUGUCGAAAUUGCCGUUCACAAUUAUGCAGGGUCCUGUGAGACAGACGACGGCCGACUUGGUGUCAGCGACCUGUGCCCCUGUACCUGAACGAAUUGAUGCCCCCUGCGUAUGAAUCGACCUUUGAAACCUAGAGCAGCGGCUAGUGGUGUUUGACAUGGCGGACCGGACACACACUCUGCUGAGCUCCGAUCUGGGCCGCCGUGGCGUGGCAACCAAAGGGCGACUACCUAGUGUCGGCAGUGUCCUCCGCGGCCGGCUGCGAGCUGUACCUGGUACGACUAGAGCCUGAGAGCAUUGGUUGCUGCUACCAAGGAAAGCGGCCGCGCAUCUGCUGUUGUGGUCGACGUGCAGCCAAUGCCUUGUGGCCGCCUCCUUCUCCCUCCACCUGUGGGCCGUGGCCACUUAUUGUUAGACGGCCGAGAGGUGCACAGUUGUGCGAGGUUCCUUUCACCCCUGACGGCUGCCUGAUGCUGAUUUCCACGCGGCCUGAAUUGUCGACACAUAGAUUCUUGUCGAGGGAGCCCAUUUGACCGCCUUUUGGCCUGGGAUGGGACUGUCCUGGCCGCUUUCCAUCACUGCAGUGCUGCGGUACAUGUUAACAACACCAGAACUUGAUCCCCAGCUCAAAUAGACCUUAGUAAGUUGCUCAUAAUUCAAAAUAGUUAUGCAAUUGACGGCAAGGAAUCAUCUAUCAACUUCUUCUCAGGCGCCAAGGCAGGGCACCUCCUUGUUGGUAAUCAUCAUAUUGCUCUUCAGGCAGAGUCCAAUCCUUCCAAUUCGACUCAGAAGAAGUCCUCAGCAAAGCCAACAGCCGCAGACUCUGAGAGAGACUGAAUUGUGAUGUUUUUUUACAUAUCACAUUCUCAGUAAAAUAAAGAUUAAUUGUGAAACUGUA